UGAGCACUAUACCAAUCCAUUCUUUAUGAUUUUGAUAUCUGAGGUUGUUCUGAACAUGGCAAUGCUUGAUGCGGGCACCUGACAGAGAGGUUCAUGGCUGGAAGCCACCAAUGAACACAGCCAGUUUCCCCAGUAUCAGCUUUAUGGAAUAUAUUUGACCAUACCAAAGAUGAUGUACACAGCCAUUUAUAUGUAGAUUUCAUAGUAUUGAAAACCAGGAUGAAGUACUAAACUUUGACAUACAAAGAAAGUCCUUGG